CUGCAGGAAAUCAGAUUCUGUUCAUAGAAAAUUUUGAAGAAGGAUUUUACACAGCUUACAUUAAGAAGGACAAUGAAGAUCAAAGAGUUUCUGUGAAACAUCAAGGAGAUUUUGAUGGAGUUAAAGUCUCAGUUGUUAAGGCUCCAGGCUGGUACAAAGACACAAAAGCUCCUGACUGGCUCAAACAUGAAGUUCAUCGUAGUGUUUCCAUGUGUGAUCCGGGGCCUCACGCUUUUCUCCUGGUUGUUCCUGUU